rnacentral:rRNA from 1 species
GCUACAGGCGGCGGGAUACACCCGUUCCCAUCCCGAACACGGAAGUUAAGCCGUCCGCCGCCAAUGGUACCUCGCCGAUAUGGCGCGGGAGAGUAGGUCGCCGCCGAGG